rnacentral:rRNA from 1 species
AUUGAACGCUGGCGGCAGGCCUAACACAUGCAAGUCGAACGAGUGGCGGACGGGUGAGUAAUGUCUGGGAAACUGCCCGAUUGAGGGGGAUAACUACUGGAAACGGUAGCUAAUACCGCAUACCAUCUGAUUUGCCCAGAUGGGAUUAGCUAGUUGGGGGGGUAACGGCUCACCUAGGCGACGAUCCCUAGCUGGUCUGAGAGGAUGACCAGCAAAACUGGAACUGAGAAACGGUCCAGACUCCGACGGGAGGCAGCAGUGGGGAAUAUUGCACAAUGGGCGAAAGCCUGAUGCAGCCAUGCCGCGUGUAUGAAGAAGGCCUUCGGGUUGUAAAGUACUUUCAGCGAGGAGGCGGUACUCGCAGAAGAAGCACCGGCUAACUCCGUGCCAGCCGCCGCGGUAAUUC